AGCAUUGCCCAGGGGCAGUAUUGUAGCCACGGAGGUUUACCCAAGGCACGAUUACUGCUAAGUGAAAUGUUUCCCAUUUGUUAUGAAAAUCUGUAAUAACUUUAUUGAGGUCUGACAUACAGU
rnacentral:snRNA from 1 species